rnacentral:tRNA from 1 species
GGGCGGAUAGCUCAGCUGGUAGAGCGUCGCCCUUACAAGGCGAGGGUCACAGGUUCGAGCCCUGUUCCGCCCA